rnacentral:lncRNA from 1 species
GGAGCACUUAGGGAUCCCUUUAACAGAGCCAUUAAAAAAUGUGAAGUUCCUGGAGAUGAUUGGACAUAAGUAUCAUGUAUAAUGGAGAUGAAUAUGACAUAAGGAGAUGAAUAUGACAUAAGUAUCAUGUAUAACUCUGUAUCAUAUGAAAAAGCGAGAGAAAAACUACCUAUGGCAGAAGUUUCAUCAGAUUUUUUCUCAAAUAACGAGGGUGAAGAUUCAAUUAAUUCAGAAGAAAAUAGAAUUCAGAAGAGUCUUCGCCCUACCAGAGAUGUAUCGUAUCAUAACUUUGACUAUUCAAGUUCAGAAAGUGACACUCAACAGUUAUUAAAAAAACAAAAGAA